GGCUUCGUAGCUCAGCUGGUAGAGCGUUUGCCAUGUUCUGGCAUGGUGUUCUUGUCGCUGGUUCGAAUCCAGCCGAAGCCC
rnacentral:tRNA from 1 species